rnacentral:rRNA from 1 species
GGACCGAAGUGGACGUAUCUCUGGUGUUCCGGUUGUCAUGCCAAUGGCAUAGCCGGGUAGCUACAUACGGACGGGAUAACCGCUGAAAGCAUCUAAGCGGGAAGCCUUCCUCAAGAUAAGAUUUCCCUAGGGGUUUAACCCCUCUGAAGGUCCGUCGAAGACUACGACGUUGAUAGGUUGGGUGUGUAAGUGCAGUAAUGCAUUGAGCUUACCAAUACUAAUUGACCGUGAGGCUUGACCAUAUAAUAG